GACGAACGCUGGCGGCGUGCUUAACACAUGCAAGUCGAACGGAAAGGCCCUGCUUUUUUGGGCUGCUCUAGGUGCGAACUGGUAAUUUACACUUGAGUUACCUGCCCUUGACUUUGGUAUAACUUCAUGAAACUGGAUCUAAUAGCAGCUAGGAUCUACCGCUGCAGGGUGGGGGUGCGAAGGUUUCGCUGGUUGGGGAUGGACUCGCGUCCUAUAAGAUUGUUGGUUGGGUAGUGGAUUACCAAGGCUUUGCCGGGUAGCCGGCCUGAGCGGGUGACAGGACAAAUUGGGACUGAGAUACGGCCCAGACUACUACGGGAGGCAGGAGUGGGGAAUAUUGCACAAUGGGCGGAAGCCUAAUGCAGCACAGCAGCGUGCGGGAUGACGGGAUUCGGGUUGUAUAGUGCAUUCGUCUGUGACGAAGCGUGAGUGACGGUAAUGGGUAAAGAAGCACCGGCUAACUACGUG
rnacentral:rRNA from 1 species